AUUAUAUUGUAUAUAAUAUAAAUAUAAACAUGACACAAAAAUAAUUGUCUCUAAGAAAAAGUUUAUGUCUUUUAAUGUGUUAGUGUUUCUUGUUAUUAGAUAUUGAUAUUACUUAACUCACUAUUUUUAAUUUUGACUUCGCUACUAGAAAGCUCAGAGCUAAAUUUUGUGUUCAGGGCAUAAAUAAUAAAUCAGUUUGAAAUGAGAUGGUAAAACACAAUAGAUAUUUUUAUUUUUAAAUUCCUCAGGGAAAUACGAUUAUAGCCCCCACCACAGGUGUGCAUUAAAUGGUUGGAGAGAAAAACCUCAGAAUACUGUAGCCAGGAAGGGGUUGAUUUUGCACAUAUAAGUGCCAGAGAAUGACGUUUUUUGAUUAGUGAAGAUUUUUUGAGGUGGUAAUAAUUACAGGUGACCUUGAGCUGGUGACGUGCAGGUGUUGUCCCAAAUGCUUUACACACACGCCAUCAUACUCCUCAUGGGAUCCGCCAUGUUGUCUCAUCCCCAUUGUAUGAAGAGGAGACGGUUUAAUGAGAGACGGCUGACAAAGGACAAUGUCAGUAUGGGAACUCUAGUCUCCAAGGCUCUAAAGGCCACAUUUAACCUCAGUGAGGUACCUACUCCCAGACGGUCCAGGGAAGGUGCUCAGUCUCUAAGCUGGGCGUGGCACCACCAUCCCCGGCCCCUGAGGCAGCAUCCUCUGAACCGGUCAGCAUCUGGACAAAGGCUCUGCGGGUCUGCACUGGGCCACUCCGGGCAUCCACAGGUUGCAAAGGCAUUUGAGAGCAGUUCUGGUAACGCACAAGUGUUCUUAUUGCUUAUUUCACAUAGACUGUUAGUUCAGGGCUUGCCUUGAAGGACACACCACUGUUGGCUGAAAUUUCCAUCCCAAAAUCGAUGGUACCAAAUUAUGGUUUCAGAGUCAGUGUAACAUACCAGAUCCCACAGAUCACCACCUUCAACAGAGAUGUGCGACUUCCGGGAAACCACAGAACUAUAGUUUCUGACUUAUGGCAUCUACUUUUUCUGGAAAUAAAGCGGAUCAACAUAAAACCCAUCUUAAAGUGCCAGAGUAUUCCCUGACUACAGGACAUUAAGCCAUCUGCGCUCAACCUCGGGGAUUUCACAUGCACGUCCACUUACUGACGUUCCAUGAUCUCUCACUACAAUUUAGGAAGCUUAAUCCUCUGGGGUGGGAGCCCCCAACUCCUGUGAUGGGAGAAUUUAAUGAUAAUACCACUACUGAUGCAGAGAGAGCAUCGUUCCUACCUUCUUACUUCCAUGGACACAUUUUAUUACUUUUCUUCCCAUGGACUCAAAGAUUUGAAACACAAACCACAUUUAUUAAGUGACAUACCCCGUUUGAGUAAUCCAAUAGUCCUCACCAUUAUUCAAAUUGAACCUUUAACUUCUGAUUGAUAUGAGCUACCAGCUUAAAAUACUUUCACUAAAAGAAAAAUGUUCUAGUGAGUGUACAUAGAAGGAGUUGUUGGGGCCGGCCCGGGGGCGCAGUGGUUAAGUGCACACAUUCCACUUUGGUGGCCCAGGGUUCGCCGGUUCGGAUCCCAGGUGCGGGCAUGGCACCGCUCAUCAAGCCAUGCUGUGGCAGGCGUCCCACAUAUAAAGUAGAGGAAGAUGGUCAUGGAUGUUAGCUCAGGGUCAGUCUUCCUCAGCAAAAAGAGGAGGAUUGGUGGCAGAUGUUAGCUCAGGCUAAUCUUCCUCAAAAAAAAAAAAAAAAAAAAGAAGGAGUUCUUAAUCUGGGGUCCAUGAGCUUCACAAAACACAUGCACAUUUCUCUUGAUAGGUGGUGCAUAUUCUUAGGCGUAUACUGGAAUACAGCUCUCUUGGGGGCUGUAUCAGAAGGUUGUACAAAAGGUUAAGUACCAGUGCCAAACAGCCUUAUUAUGAUAAUAUUUGAUUAUCAUUAGAAUUCUUAAAAUCCUGGUAAUUUCUAGCAGUAAUUAAGGCCAAUGAACCUUUGUCAACCCCUGGAAGUUCCAGAACCUCAGAUGGGGCAGCACUAAGGAGAGACCACCUCAGACGAAUUCUAAAUGCCUCGGUGAUCUCUUCCUGACCAGUUUUUAACAUCCUCCUCAAGAAGAAGUACAAGGCAAUGAAUUUCUCUUUUAUUCAAAACAUUAAGAAAUUGUAGCAUAGCGACUUAGAAAACCUUCUCAAACAGUAACAGCAUGAAUAGACAUCACGUAUCAUGCGCAGAACCUUUCUCGUUUUUUAUUAAGGGUCAUCAACCAGGGCAACAUUCGUGUUCCACUCAUCGGCUUUUCAGACCAAAGAACAAGGCACACAAAACUCCAUCCCACAAAUGCAAACGAGGAAAAAGUGCUUCGUGUCGUCCUGUGGCCAGCUAAGAGGGAGAGAUGGGGAGGGGACCCAGAGACAGAGAGAGGGUGAGGAAAGGAAAGGAAAGAAAGAAAGUGACAGGGACAUGGAGAUAGACUUGCAGGGGAAGAGAGGGACCUACACACUGUAACAGCAACAUGACCCAGAAGACACAGGAAGACAGGAACAGAUGCUCAGCAAAGUUAACGACUUUAGGAAAGUCUUUAAAAACCUUGUUGCUAUUGGAACGAUGGGCAGAAACCCGGGCCUCUUAACUAUUGAUAUUCGCACCCAGUGCAAAAGAGACCAUGUUAUGAUGCUGCGCACCUUGACCUCACAGUCAGUUCACUCCCAACCUGCUGGGGCACGUCCAGAGGGGACCUCCUCCCCCAGGACUGGAGCGGCAGAUGCCAUGGGGUGGGGGAGGUGGGGCAGCCAGAGCAUCACAGGGCUUGAGUCUCAAUUUCACCUCCUCACGGUCGCUAACUUUGCCUCUCUGGGAUUAAUACGCUCAUUUUAAAUAAAAGCAAUCUAGCUCUCUGCAUUCAAACAGGGGUCAGAGAAGAAAAGCUAUUCAGUGGGGAGGGUUUUUGUUCUGGCAACUCAUCUGGUGGCUGAUCUAGCUCCCAGGGAACUCAGUGCUUCCUGUCUAACUCAAUUUGUGCCUAGCACGAGAGAGAGAGAGAGAGAGAGAGAGAGAGAAAGAGACAGAGAGAGAGAGAGAGAGGGAGAGAGGGAGGGAGAGAGAUUAGAGCAAAGACCUCCACGAGAAAAAUAGAAAAUCGGUUUUCAAAAAUGUAAGGCUUCAAUGGAAAAUAUAAUUAAGACUUGACACGUUAAAGUCUAACGAGAUAAACAUUAAAGUAGUUAUUGACUUUUACAAAAUAAGUCAAAAAUUGAGGUAAUACAUUACUCUUCUAUAAUCAGCCUUAUCUGAUUAUAGCACUUUUUUUCCUUCUCAAUCUUAGAGUUAAAUACACUCUGACCCAAGGAGGAAAGAUCUAGAAAUCAGCCUGGAGUUAGCCGGGAAGGGUAUGUCUCCUAUAAGGCAGAGGAGUUUUACUCUUUACUCAAAUAAUAAAUAGAAAUUUUCUUCUUUUUAAAAUCACUAUAUACCACGGUACAAAGCCACUACGAUUUUCACACACUGAUUAAAAGUACGGAAAACGCACACAUCUACCCCGUGACCCCCAGGAACUCCCUCCCCGCUUUCUCCCUCAAAGGAAUCGCUCCUCCAGCCCAGGACGUUUUGUUCCACGUCUGGGGACAGCUUUCUGCAUUCUUCCCCUCUCCUCUGGUUACUCCUUCUUUCUGGAGCACAAAAGGUAUUUUGUGAGCAGCGCUUCAAAUACAAACAAAUUUCACCAGAAGCUGCCCCUCGCUCCCGCUCGCACCUCAACGCAGCCACUGAAAACAACGCCUGCAGCUGUGCUUGAGAAGACCUGUGUGGGUGUGUGUGUGUGUGUGAGUGUGAGACUGUGUGUGAGUGUGUAUCUGUGUGAGAGCAAGUGUGUGAGGCUGUGUGAGAAAGGUGCGUAUGUGUGUGAGCGUGAGUGAGCAUGUGUGUGCACUCGUGUGAAUGUGUGAGGGCAAGUGUGUGAGGGUGUGUGUGAGCAUGUAAGCAAAUGAGUUUGUGCGAGGGUAGGCAUGGUGUGUGUGUUUGUGCACAUGCAUGUGUGAGCGUGAGUGUGAGUGUGUGUGUGUGUAUGAGUGGGAGAGAGUGUGCGUGAGAGCAUUGCGUGAGCAAGUGUAAGUGUGUGAGUGUAAGGGUAAGCAUCCGUGAGCAUGUGAGCAUGUACGUGUGUGUGAGAGUGUGUGUGGGGCAGACUUGCCCGCGGCUGGCAGAGAGGCCCGCAGAGCACGCAGCCCGCGGAGAGUCGUGUCGUGAGCAUGGCACCGUUGCCAUCACUACGUCCAUCCACCAGGUGGGCUAGCUCCUGGUGGGCUAGCCCCUUCGCCUUCCGAGUUCGAACAUUCGGUUACCUUCCAUUUUCAGGCUUUCCAAUACCCGCAACGUCUCUUCUUUCGAGAAGAAACAAAAUCACAAAUGCAGCGCCACGUCCGGUUGUGCAACAGACCCCGCGCUCCUGGUCCCCCAUCCCUCCUCGUGGCUGUCACCCACUGUUCAGACCGGGGCACCCCGGCCCAGCACCUGCAGAGAGUGACACCCGCCUACCGAGGACUCCGCAGCAGAGGGCCUCAACGA
ensembl:lncRNA